rnacentral:rRNA from 1 species
UUUCUGCCACCGAAUACAUUAGCAUGGGAUAAUGGAAUAGGACCCUGUCCUCCUAUUUUCAGUUGGUUUUGGCAGCGCGAGGACUAGGGUAAUGAUUAAUAGGGAUAGUUGGGGGCAUUAAUAUUUAAUUGUCAGAGGUGAAAUUCUUGGAUUUAUGAAAGAUUAACUUCUGCGAAAGCAUCUGCCAAGGAUGUUUUCAUUAAUCAAGAACGAAAGUUAGGGGAUCGAAGACGAUCAGAUACCGUCGUAGUCUUAACCAUAAACGAUGCCGACCAGCGAUUAGGAGACGUUGAAUACAAAACACCACCAUCGGCGCGGUCGUCCUUGGCGUUCGUGUUCACGCACGAGCGCGAGGGCGGYUUAGCCCGRUGGCACCGGUGAAUGACUCCCCUAG